UAACACAUCGGAACAUGUCCAUUCGUGGGGGAUAGCCCGGCGAAAGCCGGAUUAAUACUGCAUACGCCCUUUGGGGGAAAGCGGGGGACUGGGCAACCGGCCUCGCGCGAAUGGGUUGGCCGAUGUCCGAUUAGCUAGUUGGUGGGGUAAAGGCUCACCAAGGCGAUGAUCGGUAGCUGGUCUGAGAGGAUGAUCAGCCACACUGGGACUGAGACACGGCCCAG
rnacentral:rRNA from 1 species